CAAGUCGAGCGGCAGCGCGGGGCAACCUGGCAGCGAGCGGCGAACGGGUGAGUAAUGCAUCGGAACGUGUCCCGUAGUGGGGGAUAACCCGGCGAAAGCCGGACUAAUACCGCAUAUUCUCUACGGAGGAAAGGGGGGGACCCGCAAGGGCCUCUCGCUAUGGGAGCGGCCGAUGUCCGAUUAGCUUGUUGGUGAGGUAAUGGCUUACCAAGGCGACGAUCGGUAGCUGGUCUGAGAGGAUGAUCAGCCACACUGGGACUGAGACACGGCCCAGACUCCUACGGGAGGCAGCAGUGGGGAAUUUUGGACAAUGGGGGCAACCCUGAUCCAGCCAUGCCGCGUGCGGGAAGAAGGCCUUCGGGUUGUAAACCGCUUUUGUCCGGAAAGAAAAGGCGCUCUCUAAUACGGGGCGUUCCUGACGGUACCGGAAGAAUAAGCACCGGCUAACUACGUGCCAGCAGCCGCGGUAAUACGUAGGGUGCGAGCGUUAAUCGGAAUUACUGGGCGUAAAGCGUGCGCAGGCGGUCCGCAAAGUCUGAUGUGAAAGCCCCGGGCUCAACCUGGGAACUGCAUUGGAAACUAACGGGCUCGAGUGUGGCAGAGGGGGGUGGAAUUCCACGUGUAGCAGUG
rnacentral:rRNA from 1 species